UUAAGCGACUAAGCGUACACGGUGGAUGCCCUGGCAGUCAGAGGCGAUGAAGGACGUGCUAAUCUGCGAUAAGCGUCGGUAAGGUGAUAUGAACCGUUAUAACCGGCGAUUUCCGAAUGGGGAAACCCAGUGUGAUUCGUCACACUAUCAUUAACUGAAUCCAUAGGUUAAUGAGGCGAACCGGGGGAACUGAAACAUCUAAGUACCCCGAGGAAAAGAAAUCAACCGAGAUUCCCCCAGUAGCGGCGAGCGAACGGGGAGGAGCCCAGAGCCUGAAUCAGUGUGUGUGUUAGUGGAAGCGUCUGGAAAGGCGCGCGAUACAGGGUGACAGCCCCGUACACAAAAAUGCACAUGCUGUGAGCUCGAUGAGUAGGGCGGGACACGUGGUAUCCUGUCUGAAUAUGGGGGGACCAUCCUCCAAGGCUAAAUACUCCUGACUGACCGAUAGUGAACCAGUACCGUGAGGGAAAGGCGAAAAGAACCCCGGCGAGGGGAGUGAAAAAGAACCUGAAACCGUGUACGUACAAGCAGUGGGAGCACGCUUAGGCGUGUGACUGCGUACCUUUUGUAUAAUGGGUCAGCGACUUAUAUUCUGUAGCAAGGUUAACCGAAUAGGGGAGCCGAAGGGAAACCGAGUCUUAACUGGGCGUUAAGUUGCAGGGUAUAGACCCGAAACCCGGUGAUCUAGCCAUGGGCAGGUUGAAGGUUGGGUAACACUAACUGGAGGACCGAACCGACUAAUGUUGAAAAAUUAGCGGAUGACUUGUGGCUGGGGGUGAAAGGCCAAUCAAACCGGGAGAUAGCUGGUUCUCCCCGAAAGCUAUUUAGGUAGCGCCUCGUGAAUUCAUCUCCGGGGGUAGAGCACUGUUUCGGCAAGGGGGUCAUCCCGACUUACCAACCCGAUGCAAACUGCGAAUACCGGAGAAUGUUAUCACGGGAGACACACGGCGGGUGCUAACGUCCGUCGUGAAGAGGGAAACAACCCAGACCGCCAGCUAAGGUCCCAAAGUCAUGGUUAAGUGGGAAACGAUGUGGGAAGGCCCAGACAGCCAGGAUGUUGGCUUAGAAGCAGCCAUCAUUUAAAGAAAGCGUAAUAGCUCACUGGUCGAGUCGGCCUGCGCGGAAGAUGUAACGGGGCUAAACCAUGCACCGAAGCUGCGGCAGCGACACUAUGUGUUGUUGGGUAGGGGAGCGUUCUGUAAGCCUGUGAAGGUGUACUGUGAGGUAUGCUGGAGGUAUCAGAAGUGCGAAUGCUGACAUAAGUAACGAUAAAGCGGGUGAAAAGCCCGCUCGCCGGAAGACCAAGGGUUCCUGUCCAACGUUAAUCGGGGCAGGGUGAGUCGACCCCUAAGGCGAGGCCGAAAGGCGUAGUCGAUGGGAAACAGGUUAAUAUUCCUGUACUUGGUGUUACUGCGAAGGGGGGACGGAGAAGGCUAUGUUGGCCGGGCGACGGUUGUCCCGGUUUAAGCGUGUAGGCUGGUUUUCCAGGCAAAUCCGGAAAAUCAAGGCUGAGGCGUGAUGACGAGGCACUACGGUGCUGAAGCAACAAAUGCCCUGCUUCCAGGAAAAGCCUCUAAGCAUCAGGUAACAUCAAAUCGUACCCCAAACCGACACAGGUGGUCAGGUAGAGAAUACCAAGGCGCUUGAGAGAACUCGGGUGAAGGAACUAGGCAAAAUGGUGCCGUAACUUCGGGAGAAGGCACGCUGAUAUGUAGGUGAAGUCCCUCGCGGAUGGAGCUGAAAUCAGUCGAAGAUACCAGCUGGCUGCAACUGUUUAUUAAAAACACAGCACUGUGCAAACACGAAAGUGGACGUAUACGGUGUGACGCCUGCCCGGUGCCGGAAGGUUAAUUGAUGGGGUUAGCGCAAGCGAAGCUCUUGAUCGAAGCCCCGGUAAACGGCGGCCGUAACUAUAACGGUCCUAAGGUAGCGAAAUUCCUUGUCGGGUAAGUUCCGACCUGCACGAAUGGCGUAAUGAUGGCCAGGCUGUCUCCACCCGAGACUCAGUGAAAUUGAACUCGCUGUGAAGAUGCAGUGUACCCGCGGCAAGACGGAAAGACCCCGUGAACCUUUACUAUAGCUUGACACUGAACAUUGAGCCUUGAUGUGUAGGAUAGGUGGGAGGCUUUGAAGUGUGGACGCCAGUCUGCAUGGAGCCGACCUUGAAAUACCACCCUUUAAUGUUUGAUGUUCUAACGUUGACCCGUAAUCCGGGUUGCGGACAGUGUCUGGUGGGUAGUUUGACUGGGGCGGUCUCCUCCUAAAGAGUAACGGAGGAGCACGAAGGUUGGCUAAUCCUGGUCGGACAUCAGGAGGUUAGUGCAAUGGCAUAAGCCAGCUUGACUGCGAGCGUGACGGCGCGAGCAGGUGCGAAAGCAGGUCAUAGUGAUCCGGUGGUUCUGAAUGGAAGGGCCAUCGCUCAACGGAUAAAAGGUACUCCGGGGAUAACAGGCUGAUACCGCCCAAGAGUUCAUAUCGACGGCGGUGUUUGGCACCUCGAUGUCGGCUCAUCACAUCCUGGGGCUGAAGUAGGUCCCAAGGGUAUGGCUGUUCGCCAUUUAAAGUGGUACGCGAGCUGGGUUUAGAACGUCGUGAGACAGUUCGGUCCCUAUCUGCCGUGGGCGCUGGAGAAUUGAGGGGGGCUGCUCCUAGUACGAGAGGACCGGAGUGGACGCAUCACUGGUGUUCGGGUUGUCAUGCCAAUGGCACUGCCCGGUAGCUAAAUGCGGAAGAGAUAAGUGCUGAAAGCAUCUAAGCACGAAACUUGCCCCGAGAUGAGUUCUCCCUGACUCCUUGAGAGUCCUGAAGGAACGUUGAAGACGACGACGUUGAUAGGCCGGGUGUGUAAGCGCAGCGAUGCGUUGAGCUAACCGGUACUAAUGAACCGUGAGGCUUAACCU
rnacentral:rRNA from 1 species